UUUUGGUAUAACCAUUGCAAUGCUGUUGCCAUGGUCCUUGCCAGUGUGCUUGUGAGAGGCAUUCACCCUCCUGAAAUUAUUAAAAAAAGGCAGACAUUCAGGGGGGUGAAUGCUUCUCAUAACUGCACUGGCAGAACCAUGGCGACAGCAUAUUUUAGUUAAGAAU